UCCUCUGUCUGGGCCCCGCCCACUCUGGCCACGUGACUCACUUCAACCAAUACAGCAGCGCACAAGGGAUGCUGCGCCAAUUCUGGGGCUAAGCCUUCCUUAAAGGUGUUUUUGCACUUUGGGGAACCCUGAGCUGCCAUGUUAAAAGUCCAGCUACCUGGAGAGAUGCCAUGAAGAGGUCACGUUGAGCGGGAGAAGCCCUGAGGCUACACAGGGAGAGAAGGAGAGACAGACGGACAGAGAGAGAAGAGAGGCAGGGAGCCCCCGCGGAGCCCUCUCCAUCACUCCAGUUGUCCCAGCCUUGGGACAGGGGUUGCUGACCCAGAGCCUCCGUUCUGAAUGACCUGAAGCUCACGAUACACAAAUUCCCACUCGACGAGCGUCUUUUCUGCAGAGAGCUCCUUUCAGAGGGUACUGAAGGUCAGCGGCUGCAGUAGCACGUGACUCAUCCUUAUAGAGGGAGAUGUGUGCUCAGCCGCUCAGUCAUGUCCGACUCUGGACCCCACAGACUGCAGCCCGCCAGGCUCCUCUGUCUCCAGGAUUUUUCAGAGCACAGACUCCAGGUUCUAGGGCUCAGGAGCCGUGGCACGCAGGCUUUAGUUGCUCCCCAGCGUGUGGAAUCCUCCUGACCCAGGGAUCGAACCUGUGUCCCCUGCACCGGUAGGGGAGCCACUGUACCACCAGAGCGUCCUGGGUAGGAUCUGGUCAGCACCCUGGAGUCCUGAUCAUGCAUCUCCCUCGAAAAGGCUGAGUAAGCAGGGACUCUCUCCCCCAGACUCAGCUCAGGCAUCUCUUUUCCAUCGAGAGUUUUUUAUUCCAUUGCCCUCUGCUCAUCUCGGAUCUCCAUCAUAGCUGUCUGUCUGUAAGUCUGUCUCCCCAGCUUGGGGCCAGGCUGGUUGGAUUCCCUUCAUGAAGCUCUCCAGCUGCUACGUCGUAGGACUCCCAAAGAUUUUUUUUUUUAAACAAUAAAGUACCUAUCUCUCUUGUUGUCAUUUACAAGUUAAAGAACUUUAAAAUUAGAAGGGGGACUUCCCUGGUGAUCCAGUGAUUAAGAAGCCACCUGCCAAGACAGAUGACACGGGGCCGAUCCCUGGUCUGGGAAGUUCCCACAUGCCCAGCG
ensembl:lncRNA